GCCCGGCUCCGGACGCAGUCUGGGUGCUCCCCGCGGGGUCCCCGGGAAGGGGCGCGGGUUGACCCAUGUGCGUGAGGAGGUGCCUGGUGGGCCUCACCUUUUGUACCUGCUACCUGGCUUCUUACCUCACGAACAAGUAUGUCCUGUCUGUCUUGAAAUUUACCUACCCUACAUUGUUCCAAGGGUGGCAGACACUAAUUGGUGGACUUCUGCUUCACGUGUCAUGGAAGCUAGGCUGGGCCGAGAUCAACAGCACUUCAAGAUCUGAUGUUUCAACGUGGCUUCCUGCUUCGGUGCUGUUUGUGGGUAUAAUCUAUGCUGGUUCCAGAGCAUUAUCCAAACUGGCCAUUCCUGUGUUUCUCACUUUGCAUAAUGUAGCUGAAGUUAUCAUCUGUGGGCACCAGAAGUGUUUUCGGAAAGAGAAAACUUCUCCUGAAAAGAUCUGUAGCACCCUCUUCCUUCUGGCUGCCGCAGGAUGCCUUCCCUUCAAUGACCCCCAGCAGGUGCGGGCAACCCCUUACGCAGGAUGUCCUGUGCCAGUAACACCCACUGUUUCAUUUUCAGGGGUUUAUAAGAUAGUGCAGAAGUCCCGGAAACCCAACGCCUUAAGCGACAUUGAGCAGCAGUACUUAAACUAUAUGUUCAGCGUGGUGCUCCUGGCAGUCGCAUCCCAUCCCACAGGUGAUCUCUUCAGUGUCCUGGACUUUCCAUUCCUGUAUUUCUACAGAUUCCAUGGCAGCUGCUGUGCCAGUGGAUUGUUAGGAUUCUUUCUCAUGCUCAGCACAGUGAAGCUGAAAAACCUUGUGGCCCCAGGGCAGUAUGCAGCCUGGAUUUUCUUUGCUAAGAGGGGAAAACUUAAAUCCAGAGAGGGGAACUGGCCUGAGGCCCCCUCAAUGAGUCUAAGACACCCAGGACUACCUGACUGCUGGCCUUACAAAUCCAGCUGUCAUCACAGCUGUUUUGUCAGUAUUGCUGUUUGAUAUGAUCCUGACCAAUGCAACGGUGGGAUGCCUCCUGCUCGGUGGACUUGGAGAGGCCUUGCUGGUUUUCUCAGAGCAGAAGAGCUCCUGAAGGCAGGAAGAGUAGACUCCCAGGCUGCCAGCUGGAGUGAGCAGCCCCUGAGCCUUGGAACUCCCUGUCGCAUGUGUCAGGAGGAAGAAAGCAGGGACACUGAGGCCCCCACUUCUCAGGGCAUCAAGGAGAGCACUCUCCGGGGGUCUCCGGGCUGCUGCAGAGAAUGCACUGGGUUGUGUCUUCCUGUUUCAAGAGGCUCACUCGAGCCCUGCUGACCACGCCAUGUAAACCCAGAAGCAGGGUAUUGAAUACCUGAUUGUCCCGCCGAGUGUCGGUGGUGGUCAUGUCGAGAUGUAGGAGGUAGUGAAGCUGCAGCCACUGCUCCCGAGGCAGGAAGCCAGCCUUCGGUGUUGGACGUCCGCGUCAUGGAUGGAGAACCGUCUUUAGCAUCUGGGAACUCAGCCUGUCCAUUCUCAGCUCUGGGAAGAGUAAAGUUAGCUCAGUCAGGGGCCAUUCUUUCUGCACAUUCUCUCCAAUUUAUUGAAAAAAUAAACAGAAAAUGAAACAAAUGGGAAUGGAUUAGUAGAUUUGGAACUCGAGUACCUUCAGUCCAUUUCCUGGUCUUUUCCUGGUCUCUGUGUGUCAUUUAAGGUAAAGAUGUUCAGAGUGACCUCUAUGCAGAUGGAGUUUCAGUUUGCUUUUUGUUCUUCAUCAGAGGUGUUAAACUUUAUAGAGGCUGAGGAUCAAAUAGAAAAAUGGGUUUAGAAUUGCCCUUGUUCUUCUGCUCCCACAAAACCCUCUUUGUAAAACUCAGUUCUUCAUCUUUUGUGGCAAGUGGCAUCUGACCAAAUGUCAUCUUAAGCCUGUCUUUCCAGGUGCCGUCCAGGCAAACGGAGAUUCCUAAGUCUGGAAAGAAUCAUGCACAGUUAAUGGGCCCGUCUCCUGUUUCCAGGAGAUCUGUUCUUCUUUUUUUUUUUUCUUUAAGAUUUUUUUUAAUUUUUAUUUUAUUAUUAUUAUUUUUUAUUUAUUUGAGAGAAAGCGUGAAAGCCAGAGCACAAGCAGUGGGAAGCGGUGUGGGAAGAGGGAGAAGCAGACUCCCCACUGAGCAGGGAGCCCACUCAGGACUGGAUCCCAGGACCCUGAGAUCAUGACCUGAGCUGAAGGCAGACAUUUAACUGACUGAGCCAGCCAGGUGCCCCAGGAAGACCUCUUAAAAAAAAUCUCUACCAAGGAUUUUAAAAUUUUUUUCGUUUGAUUAUUUUUUUAAUGGCAUUCCAGGGUCCCAUUGUUUUUAUUUUUCAUUUUUUUAUUUUAAUUUUUUAAGUUUGAGUAGAGUUGACACAUGUUAUAUUGAUUUCAGGUGUACAACUUAGUGAUUCAACAAGUUUAUACCUUAUGCUCUGCUCACCACAAGAGUACCACCUGUCCUCAUACAUCACUAUUAUAAUAUUGACUGUAUUCCUUACACUGCACUUCUUACUCCCAUGCCUUACUCAUUCCAUAACUGGAAGCCUGUAGCUCCCUCUUCCCUUUGCCUGUUUUGCCCAUCUCUGUACCCCCUCAGGCAAUCAUCAGUUUGUACUCUGUAGUUCUGAUUCCACUCUUUGUUUAUUCAUUCUUUAAGAGUCUGUUUGUAAGUGGAGUCAUAUGGUAUUUAUCUUUCUCUGUCUGGCUUCUCUUAGCAUAAGAUCCAUCCAUGUUGUCUCAUGUGGCAUGACCACAUCCUUUUUUAUGGCUGUAUAAUAUUCCAUUGCAUGUAUAUGUGCACAUAUAUAUCAUAGUAUUUCUAUAUAUAUGUGCAAUGGAAUAUUAUACAGCCAUAAUAUAUAUAUAAUAUUCCAUUGCACAUAUAUAUAUAUCACAUUUUCUUUACCAGAAGUAAUCUAUCAGUAGACACUUAGACUACUUCCAUAUCUUGGCUAUUGUAAAUAAUGCUGCAAUAAAUAUAGAGGUGUGUAUGUCUUUUUCAUAUUUUACUGUUUUCAUUUUCCCUGGGUGGAUACCCAGGGGUGGAAUUACUGGAUCAUAUAGUAUUUCUAUUUUUAAUUUGGUGAGACACCUCCACACUGUUUUCCGCAGUGGCUGCACCAGCUUGCGUUCACCGCAACAGUGCAUGAGGGCUCCCUUUUCUCCACAUCCUCACAACACUUGCUGUUUCUUCUCUUGACUUUAGCCAUUCUAACAGGUGUGAGGUAAUAGCUCAUUGUGGUUUUGAUUUGCAUUUCCCUGAGGAUGAGUGAUAUUGAGCAUCUUUUCACGCGUCUGUCAGCCAUCUAGUUGUCUUCUUUGGAGUAAUGUCUGUUUGGGUCCUCUGCCCAUUGUUUGAUUAGAUUUUUUUUUUUUGUAUAAGCUCUUUAUAUAUUUUGGAUAUUACCUCCUAUUGGAUAUAUCAUUUGCAAAUAUCUUCUCCCAUUCAGUAGGUUGUCUUUUUGUUUUAUUGAUGUUUUCCUUUGCUGUGCAGAGGUUUUUAUUUUGAUGUCAUCCCACUAGUUUGUUUUUGAUCCCCUUGCCUCAGGAGACAGAUCUAGAAAGAUGUUGCCACAGCUGAUGUCAGAAUGAGUACUGCCGGUGCUCUCUUCUAGGAUUUUUAUGGUUUCAUGUCUCACAUUUAGGUCUUUAAUCUGCUUUGAGUUUAUUUUUGUGUAUGGUGUAAGGAAGUGGUCUAGUUUCAUUGUUUUAAAAUCUCACAUCUUUUCUUACUUUGACAUUAGCAGGAGGCAGAGGAUUAAGGUGUUUCUUCAUUAUACCACUCUGUUUCCUUCAACCUCCAUCUCUUCUAGGGCUUUUUUCUCCACCCCCACCCCGAAACCUUAACUUCUAUGUUUUAUGCCCAAAUUUACAUGCUCAGCUCUGAAUGCAGGUGAGCCCAGAGGUCUGUAGAGCCAGGGGCUGGCCCAGAUUAGUGCAACCUCAGUUGUCAUUAUCUGUGGCUCCCUGGGCCCCUCUCUGGGUGGGAAUCUCCAGGCAACCCCAGCACUCCCUUCUGUGGAAGAUGAUCCAUUUCACCGUGUCCUGUCUGGGUCCUGAUGGUCCCUGACCUUGCUGGCUCCAAGUCAAAGCCAUGGUGCUUGUUUUUUUUUUUUUUUUUUUCAUUUGUACAAAUAAAGAGUAUGCUUUCCAUUAGGAGAGGCAAGGUUCUGUAUGAUUAUGUAUUGUUCCUAAUUUGCUAUGGAUAUAAAGAAAAAUAAACCAUUUGUUUUCAUGGUAAUUUGCCUUUCUUUUUCUUCUCUUCAAACUCAGCUGGAGAGUAUUGUAAAAAUAGUUAUUAUCCUUGGGGAUGGGGGCUGUGAGGGGAGGGCUCUUGCAUCUUCAAGACAGGCCAGACUUCUGCCAACAUCCAGGCUGCUUAGCUCUGAACAGGGAGGGCCACCCAGCUUAUUCUCCUGGACCUGUGCCAUCCUGUAGGCUGACCCAGCAUAGCCACAUGUGGCCAUUGAGCACCGAAAUGGUAUGUGUCCAAAUUCAGAUGUGCUGUAAAUAAGUGUAAGUAUAUGCUGAUUUCAAAGAUUUCAUAUUAAAAAAAGGAUGUAAAAUAUUUUGUAA